rnacentral:rRNA from 1 species
GUGAGGAAUAUUGCGCAAUGGAGGCAACUCUGACGCAGCCAUGCCGCGUGCAGGAAGAAGGCGCUACGCGUUGUAAACUGCUUUUAACCGGGAAGAAACCCCAGGGCGUGUCCUGGGUUGACGGUACCGGAGGAAUAAGCACCGGCUAACUUCGUGCCAGCAGCCGCGGUAAUACGAAGGGUGCAAGCGUUAUCCGGAUUCAUUGGGUUUAAAGGGUGCGUAGGCGGAGCGUUAAGUCAGUGGUGAAAUCCUGCAGCUUAACUGUAGACUUGCCAUUGAUACUGGCGCUCUUGAGUGCGCUUGAAGUGGGCGGAAUGUGCCGUGUAGCGGUGAAAUGCUUAGAUAUGGCACAGAACACCAAUUGCGAAGGCAGCUCACUAAGGCGAUACUGACGCUGAGGCACGAAAGCGUGGGGAUCGAACAGGAUUAGAAACCCGGGUAGUCC